GGAAAGUUGCCAGAGUGGUCGAUUGGGUCGGUCUCGAAAACCGAUGUACGGGUAACUGUACCGUGAGUUCGAAUCUCACACUUUCCGCCA
rnacentral:tRNA from 1 species